GACGAACGCUGGCGGCGUGCCUAAUACAUGCAAGUAGAACGCUGAAGAGAGGAGCUUGCUCUUCUUGGAUGAGUUGCGAACGGGUGAGUAACGCGUAGGUAACCUGCCUUGUAGCGGGGGAUAACUAUUGGAAACGAUAGCUAAUACCGCAUAACAAUGGAUGACACAUGUCAUUUAUUUGAAAGGGGCAAUUGCUCCACUACAAGAUGGACCUGCGUUGUAUUAGCUAGUAGGUGAGGUAAUGGCUCACCUAGGCGACGAUACAUAGCCGACCUGAGAGGGGGAUCGGCCACACGGGGACUGAGACACGGCCCAGACUCCUACGGGAGGCAGCAGUAGGGAAUCUUCGGCAAUGGGGGCAACCCUGACCGAGCAACGCCGCGUGAGUGAAGAAGGUUUUCGGAUCGUAAAGCUCUGUUGUAAGUCAAGAACGGGUGUGAGAGUGGAAAGUUCACACUGUGACGGUAGCUUACCAGAAAGGGACGGCUAACUACGUG
rnacentral:rRNA from 1 species